UACGUAGGUGGCAAGCGUUGUCCGGAAUUAUUGGGCGUAAAGCGCGCGCAGGCGGUCCUUUAAGUCUGAUGUGAAAGCCCACGGAUCAACCGUGGAGGGUCAUUGGAAACUGGGGGACUUGAGUACAGAAGAGAAGAGUGGAAUUCCACGUGUAGCGGUGAAAUGCGUAGAGAUGUGGAGGAACACCAGUGGCGAAGGCGACUCUUUGGUCUGUAACUGACGCUGAGGCGCGAAAGCGUGGGGAGCAAACAGG
rnacentral:rRNA from 1 species